GGCCUGUGCUGGGAAAGAGGUGGGGGGACCAGGGGAAGACUCAGGGUGCAAUGGCAGCGCAAAUUCCAAUUGUAGACACCACUUCCACUCCCAGAAUAGUCCGGAACAGCAAGAAGAGGCCGGCCAGCCCUUCCCACAAUGGCAGCAGCGGCAGGGGCUAUGGCGCCAGUAAGAAGAAAAAAGUGUCUGCCUCCAGCUUUGCACAGGGUAUCAGCAUGGAAGCCAUGAGUGAGAAUAAAGUGGCACUCUCUGAGUUUAGCACAGGACCUGUGGAAAAAGCUGCCAAACCUUUGCCAUUUAAGGAUCCCAACUUUGUACACUCUGGCCAUGGUGGCGCAGCUGCUGGUAAGAAGAACAGAACCUGGAAGAAUCUGAAACAAAUCCUCGCUUCCGAAAGGGCAUUGCCGUGGCAACUGAACAAUCCUAACUACUUCAGUAUUGAUGCUCCUCCAUCCUUUAAGCCAGCUAAGAAGUAUUCUGAUGUUUCAGGCCAACUACACAGACCCCCAGAGCAAACCGCGGUUCAGCACCAUUGAAGUUUUCCUACAUUCAGAGGCUGCCCUCUGACGUCGUCACCGGCUACCUGUCCCUGAGGAAGGCCACAAGCAUCGUUCCCUGAGCCCGAGAAAAGGAGAUGAAAUGGAAAGCUGUUUCAAAAACAGACUCUGGACUCGUGAUUUUGUUUCAUGGAAACAAACUCGUUCUGCUGUCAAUCUGAAAAUGCCAGUGCUGUGCCUUGGAAAGAAUGUUUGGCUUUCAUUUAAGGGUUUUUUUGAGUGUGUGUUUUCCCUCCAAGUGUGAUAUUUCCUGCUGAAUUAAAUUAUACUUCAGUUGUUGCCUCAAGUAAAGGUGUUUGACAAGAAAA